UAGCUGUGUUUUCAGUGGAGCUCAGGGGA
rnacentral:piRNA from 1 species